CUUAGCAGAGAUGCUUUGGUGCCUUUCGGGAACUCUGAGACAGGUGCUGCAUGGCUGUCGUCAGCUCGUGUUGUGAAAUGUUGGGUUAAGUCCCGCAACGAGCGCAACCCUUAUCCUUUGUUGCCAGCGGUCCGGCCGGGAACUCAAAGGAGACUGCCAGUGAUAAACUGGAGGAAGGUGGGGAUGACGUCAAGUCAUCAUGGCCCUUACGAGUAGGGCUACACACGUGCUACAAUGGCGCAUACAAAGAGAAGCGACCUCGCGAGAGCAAGCGGACCUCAUAAAGUGCGUCGUAGUCCGGAUUGGAGUCUGCAACUCGACUCCAUGAAGUCGGAAUCGCUAGUAAUCGUAGAUCAGAAUGCUACGGUGAAUACGUUCCCGGGCCUUGUACACACCGCCCGUCACACCAUGGGAGUGGGUUGCAAAAGAAGUAGGUAGCUUAACCUUCGGGAGGGCGCUUACCACUUUGUGAUUCAUGACUGGGGUGAAGUCGUAACAAGGUAAGCGUAGCGAG
rnacentral:rRNA from 1 species